rnacentral:lncRNA from 1 species
ACACUCCUGCCCGAAGGGAACAAUAAAGCUUUCUCCAUUCAACAGCGGCAGAGACGCCAGAAGGCGGCCAUUUUGAGGCCGGCGCGUCAGGAGUAGAGCGGCGAGGGGGCGGCCCGGCCUGCCCCGCGCGCCGUGGUCACGUGUCGGGGGCGGGCCUCGGGGGGCGGGGCCUGCGUCGAGCGCGCCCUCCACCAAUGCUAGGGCGCGGGGGCUAACCGGUUGUUAGCCUGUUCUCUGACCUAUGACCUUAGCCACUCCCUCCCCUCCCCACACUCUCUUAUGAAAGUUUUGAUGGGGUUCCACGGACUCUCGCUUGGGCAGUACUAGAGCGGGGAUCUUGUUUCCAGAAUGGCACAGAAGUAGACACAAAACGGUUUCUCUACAUUUUUCCAAAACAUGUUCACGUGCAAGGCAGAGACGUGACCUGAGCCGCGUCCCCAGACGCAUCCUCAUAGGUGGAGAGUCUUGGCACCGCUCGGACGGGAUAGGCUACCAGGGUCGUAUCAGCCAAUCGAGGUGCCCGGAAGGCGUUUUGAUCCCGCCUUUCCCUCCUCCCGCUCAGGAAUUUAGGCUGGCCCAGCACGUGGGAGAAGAAGAAAACAAUGAUGGGAACCUCUAAGGACCUCAUCUCUCCAGAGAGCCUGAAGGAUUUGGAAGAAAUAACUUGUGCUUCCCAGUUGCCAGAAGGACCAAUCCUUGAACCUAAAGGAGGAAGGUACUUGAAAACUUUUCCCCCCUUUCUUCUACCUUGACAGAGAAUGUUCCCAGGCUCUGCCUGAGGUGACUCCAGCUAAACUACCAGCUGUUUCUGGAACGGCUACCACAUGCCAAGGACAUUGAGGUCAAUGGAACACAGUCACUGCCAUAAGAAAUAGUACAGCCUUGGGGCGCCUGGGUGGCGCAGUCGGUUGGGCGUCCGACUUCAGCCAGGUCACGAUCUCGCAGUCUGUGGGUUCGAGCCCUGCGUCGGGCUCUGGGCUGAUGGCUCGGAGCCUGGAGCCUGUUUCUGAUUCUGUGUCUCCCUCUCUCUCUGCCCCUCCCCCAUUCAUGCUCUGUCUCUCUCUGUCCCAAAAAUAAAUAAACGUUGAAAAAAAAAAAAAAAGAAAUA